GUAACUUCUGUUGCCUAGCAACCGUGUUAGCAUGAAGCCGAACAAAUGGAGCCUGAAGCGGGAUUUUGAAAACAAUGUGCUGGGUGUCAGCUGUUCUCUCGGGGUUUGGCGCGCCUCAACCACCCGGACAUCUGGCGAGGAGAGCGGCUGCUGGGGCAGCGGACGAACACAUCGGCGCAUUUGGAAGGACGCAUUUGUUGAAACCUUGGAGAUUUGACAGCAUUCAUCGCCUCAUCCAGGACGUUAUCGGAUGCAGUCCUGAAUCUGGACACAGCAACAGUGAAUGACAUCCGUGAAUCAGUAAAUCUGUGUUUGAUUAAUCUGUGGCUUCAAGAACCCGGAUGUGUGACACAAAAAAAUUAAUUUUGGAAUUGAAAUUGAA